AUUGAACGCUGGCGGCAUGCCUUACACAUGCAAGUCGAACGGCAGCAUGGAAGAGCUUGCUCUUCUGAUGGCGAGUGGCGAACGGGUGAGUAAAGCAUCGGAACGUACCGUGUAGUGGGGGAUAACGUAGCGAAAGUUACGCUAAUACCGCAUACGCACUGAGGUGGAAAGCAGGGGAUCGCAAGACGUUGCGCUAUAAGAGCGGCCGAUGUCAGAUUAGCUAGUUGGUAGGGUAAAGGCUCACCAAGGCGACGAUCUGUAGCGGGUCUGAGAGGAUGAUCCGCCACACUGGGACUGAGACACGGCCCAGACUCCUUCGGGAGGCAGCAGUGGGGAAUUUUGGACAAUGGGCGAAAGCCUGAUCCAGCCAUGCCGCGUGGGUGAAGAAGGCCUUCGGGUUGUAAAGCUCUUUCGGCUGGGAAGAAAUCGCACAGGCUAAUACUCUGUGUGGAUGACGGUACCAUCACAAGAAGCACCGGCUAACUACGUGCCAGCAGCCGCCGUAA
rnacentral:rRNA from 1 species